UGUCAUGCCAUCCGGUCCUGGCACAUUUUAUGGAUGCAUCAUAAAUAAAGCCUCUUUAACCUCUUCCUCCGUCGCUAGCUUCAACAAAUGUUGAUUCAUCUGAGGAGUAAUUCCUGGUGUAACCUCUGUAAGGAAACUAUCGAAUUCUGAUGGGGAGGUGGUACUGAAUAGAUCUUCAAAAUAAUCUAUCGCCACCUUUUCCACACAAUUAUCCUCUGUAAUCCAAUUCUCAUCCGCAUCAUGUAAUCCAACAAUUCUAUUACGGACCCGUCGUUGUUUAGUUAAAGCAUGAUAAAACUUUGUGUUAAGAUCCCCAGAUGAAUACCACAUGUUCCUGCUUUUCUGGUGCCAGUAAUCUUCCUCAUCCUUAUAUGCAUCUUGUAAUUUCCUAGACACCUCCAAAAUAUCCUC
rnacentral:lncRNA from 1 species